rnacentral:rRNA from 1 species
GUAGGGGGCAAGCGUUGUCCGGAUUUAUUGGGCGUAAAGCGCUCGCAGGUGGUUCGUUGCGUCGUGCGUGAAAGACCCCGGCUCAACUGGGGGGUGUCGUGCGAUACGGGCGAACUGGAGGCCAGUAGGGGGAUGCGGAAUUCCGGGUGUAGUGGUGGGAUGCGUAGAGAUCCGGAGGAAUACUAGUGGCGAAGGUGGUAUUCUGGAUUGGUCCUGAUACUCAGGAGCGAAAGCGUGGGGAGCGAUCCGGAUUAGAUACCCGGGUAGUCCACGCUGUAAACGAUGAGUACUAGGUGUCGGGGGUAUCGACCCUUUCGGUGUCGCAGCUAACGCGAUAAGUAUUCCGCCUGGGGACUACGGCCGCAAGGCUA